rnacentral:sRNA from 1 species
UCUCUCUCUCUCUUUCUCUCUCUCUU